rnacentral:tRNA from 1 species
GCUAUCAUGGCAUACUGGUUUGAGCACUGGACUAUGACUCUGGAGACCAGGGUUCGAAUCCCUGCCCAGCC